rnacentral:rRNA from 1 species
UGGGGAAUAUUGCACAAUGGGCGCAAGCCUGAUGCAGCCAUGCCGCGUGUGUGAAGAAGGCCUUCGGGUUGUAAAGCACUUUCAGCGAGGAGGAAGGCAUUAAGGUUAAUAACCUUAGUGAUUGACGUUACUCGCAGAAGAAGCACCGGCUAACUCCGUGCCAGCAGCCGCGGUAAUACGGAGGGUGCAAGCGUUAAUCGGAAUUACUGGGCGUAAAGCGCACGCAGGCGGUUUGUUAAGUCAGAUGUGAAAUCCCCGAGCUUAACUUGGGAACUGCAUUUGAAACUGGCAAGCUAGAGUCUUGUAGAGGGGGGUAGAAUUCCAGGUGUAGCGGUGAAAUGCG